AGCUCUGUUGUUUCCCUAAGCUUCCCUUGGCCUGGAGCUGCUGGAGGAAAGGGGUUUAUGGUGGCUCCUGGGGGUGUCUCAUGGAACAACAGUGAGAGUAUCUCACAGGGCCUGUGUGAGCACCUGGAUGCACUUGGAUGUGGAGCAUUGUUUAAAGAAGAUGCUGAGGGGCAAACCUUUGUGCCAGGCAGGAGCAGCAGAUUGAAUUGAAGGAGAGAGCACAAGUACUUGCCCGUUGUACUGGUUUCAGCUGAGGUAAACACCCCCUGUUGCCUCAGUUUCAGGGGUUAAAUUGAAGGAAACUCCUGCUUUUCAAGCACUGAAGGGUUUAAAAUGGGGCAUGCUGCUGCAUUUGAGGGUGCUUCUGCCCGUGCCCUGGCACCAAAUGCUUUGCUCAGGAGCACUCCUGGCAUUCAUUCCCUGGGGAAUUGCUGAGGUGGAGCGGGAAUGUCAUGGCUGGGCUGCCGCCAGGACUGACAAACGCGUGCAGAGCUGAGGUGAGCUCUGCUGGGCUGGCAGGUGGGAACAGCAACACUGAUCUGUGCCUGUCCUGGCCUCUCUGUCCACUCCAGGUGUGGGGCUCAGGCACUGCCGGGGCCCCCUUGGCCUGGUGCUGGUGUGUAGGGUCAUAUUUACAGGAAAAUGGACAUGAACUAAAUGAACCGGACUAAUCUUCUGGAACUAAGGAAGGAGGUCACCUUUGUGAAUAAAAAAGGCUGAUGUUGCAAGAAGAAAGAAGAAGCAGAAAAGUUGCUGAUGGGCACAGGGGUGUCAACCUUACAGUAUCAACUGUAACUUAAUCAAUUAGAUUAAGAAAAAGAUGCAUUGCUUGCCCCGUGGACAGGAUAGAGCCAUCAGUCAAGAGAUGUGUGGACAAAGCAAAGCUACCAAUCAAAUAAUGAGUGACUGCGUAAGCCAAGAUAAAUAUAAACAAUGUUUAGAAGCACAAUAAAUGGCUUUUGCUAGAUUCACAUUGAAUUGUGUGGAGUCCUUUUUCUUCUCUCCUUAGCUGGUGGACCCCAACGUGAUCUGAAUCGGAGGAAAGGCAGCAGAACCCAGAAGGAGAGUCUGGCUGGAGGAUGGCUCAGCGUGACUGAGACCAGCAGGCUGGAGGAUGGCCUGGGACUGAACAAUGUGCAUUGCAACAGGUGCCCAGUGAGGUGAGCAGCCAGGAGGAGGAGAUGGGACAAAGUCUGACUACAGAUGGCAAUGCAAUAGUGGUUACUCCUCCAUAUCCUUUCCAAGAGAGGAAUUAAAUAUGAUGAGAAUAUCCUCAGAAAAUAGUUAUUAUGGAACAGGGAACGUGGACUGUCCACAGAAGCAAAUGUAUUUAAAGUAGAGACAUGGGAACAUAGAGGACAGCUUCUGUGGGACAAAGUAAUGGAUUGAAGGAGGAAAAAGAGCUAGCAACAACUUGGAAACUGGUAAUUACGAUAAUCCGAGAAAUGAAGGCAGAACAAAAUGCUGCCGCUGGAGCAUACGCUGCUCUAGGCCUGGUCUCGGUGUCUGCUUAUCCAGUAAAAGUAUUUGACAAUGAUCCUUGCAUUCCUUCUUUUGCUCCGCCAUCAGCACCCCCGCUGGAGGAAGCAGGAGGAGGAGAGUCACAGACAGUACAGAACUUAUCUCCACCAUAAGAAUUGGGCAUUGUUAACCCUCAAAGGGCACUGAGCCCAGCACAAAAUGAGCUGAUGGAAAUUGAGCCCAAGGGACAGGGAGCUGUGACCUGUCAUCUGUAUCCACCAUUCCCUCUGACAGCUCUGCCAUCACCCACUGGCCAGUAUAUUUGGCAGGCGAAGGGUGACCAAGCUUUUAUGGGUAUCGGAGUUAUUUGAGAAAUUGCGGGAGUUGGAACAACAACAAAAACUGCAUGAGCAAUUCAUAUGAGACAACAUGGCAGCCAUGGAUCAGCUGACGGGGGCUAAUAAUACAAAGACAGCUGGAGUCAGUGACAAUGAUGAUCCCAGAUUAUGGUGGAAUGGACUGAUAAAAGAUACGAGAGUGAAAUUAUUCCAAUAGCAUGUCCAGCUCAACUGAGGGGGAGUGACAGGAAUGGAGGGAGGCAUGCGAAUACAUGGUUUGCACUAGAUUGGAGAAUUAUUAUGGAAGCUAGAAAAUCGCUAUGGGUUAACCUUCCGCUAUACACAAACCUUUUUUGACAAUAUUUUUACUGGAUCACUCCUGACCCCUUUUGAUAACAGACAGAUAGCUAGACUGAUAGUAACACCUAUGCAAGAGUUGAUAUGGUGGACAAGGUAGACUGAUUUGUGUCAAAUUGCAGCAGUUAAUCUGGAAAAGAAUGAUGGGGAUCCUUUAAGGGCAAUUUCUGUAGAUAUGUUACUAGGUCAGGGACCUUUUGCAGAUGCUCAAGUACAGGGACAACUGCACUUAGAAAUUUUACGGCAGUCACAAGGUCUAGCAAGGGAAGCUUUAAAAACAUUACCAGAAGAUGGGAAAUUGAUUCCUUCUUAUGAGAAAAUAAAGCAAGGUGUUAAAGGAUCAUACAUGCAGUUCCUAGAUAGGCUGAAAAAUGCUUUAGAAAAGGCACCGCUUUCUGACUCUCAGAGAAGCCUUGCUUAUGAUCUUGGCUGUAGAAAAUGCUAAUCAGACUUGUAAGAGAUUAUUCCAUGCUCUGCCAAGAACUGUGACCUUGGUGGAAAAUAUUGAAGCUUGCUCCUGAGCUGAGGAAAAAGCAGGAUAUAUGGCUACUGCAUUUUCACAGCUGUUAAGCCCUUAAUUCAGCAAGGAAGGAGUGACCGAGGUCUAAAAUGUUUCAACUGCGCUAAGCCUGGUCACCUUAAGGCCCAAUGCAAGGCAAAGAGGAAGGGAGGAGGACAACAAACAAAACUGUCACUGUCUGGUGGCAAGAGAUUUAGUGAAACUUGUAACCUUUGUGAUAAAUUUGGCCAUUGUGUGCAGGAAUGCCGCUCAAAAUUUUAAAAAGACAGGAACCCCAUGGGAAACAGGCUGAUGAGCACAUGGGGCCCAAGCAUGAUGACACAAAACAAGGGCUGUCCAGCUCCCUGGAUGGCAUCUCUGCUGUCACAGCAGGGAGUGCCUGAGUGGAUGUCACAACAGCAGUAACCAUGACCCUUGCUAAUAACCAGGUACAAUCUAUCCCUACUAACAUGAAUUCACCCUUGGGGAGAGGAUUAAGUGCUUUGCUAUUAGGCAGAUCAUCAACAACGCAUAAAGAUUUGUUUGUUUUGCCUGGGGUAGUUGAUGCUGAUUAUAGUGGCAACAUAGGAAUAAUGGUAUGGACACCCAACCCUCCAAUUUCUAUCCCGGCAGGGACAAAAAUUGGACAAUUGGUACCACUUAAAGCUAUGGUCCCUAAGAGCAGUGAAAUUAUUAGGGGAGAUAGAGGAUUUGGCUCAUCUGGAGAGCCUGAGAUUUAUUUUACUAUGGAAAUUGACAAAUCCAAACCAAUCAAAGAAGUUAGAGUAAUUGGGACUGGAUGGGACCACUUUAUAGUUUAAAAUGUUGCUGGAUAUCAGAGCGGAUGUCACCCUUGUUCCUAGGGAAAAAUGGCCUCAAUAUCGGCCUUUACAGAGUUUACAGACACCAGCAGUCAGGGUGGGAGGAGUUCAGAUUACUCAGAUUAGUAAACUGCCAAUUGGCUUUUCAUUACUUGAUAGGUUAAAGGCAUCAACACGGCCAUAUGUAAUGAGAACCACAGUUUGCUUAUUAGGAAGGGAUGUGUUGAGUCAGAUGGGGCUUCAGCUUACCUCAGAGGAUGUUUAGGGGUGGCCAUGGGAAGGCGACUGGUCCAAAAGUUAACAUGGUUGACAGACACUCCUGUAUGGAUUGACCAAUGGCCACUAACCAAUGAAAAAAUCGCCCACGUGCAAGAACUGGUUCGGGUGUAA